rnacentral:rRNA from 1 species
GGGUGGUAAUGCCGGAUGCUCCAACUUUCCGCAUGGUUUGUUGGGAAAGCUUUCGCGGUAUGGGAUGGGGUCGCGUCCUAUCAGCUUGACGGCGGGGUAACGGCCCACCGUGGCUUCGACGGGUAGCCGGCCUGAGAGGGCGACCGGCCACAUUGGGACUGAGAUACGGCCCAGACUCCUACGGGAGGCAGCAGUGGGGAAUAUUGCACAAUGGGCGCAAGCCUGAUGCAGCGACGCCGCGUGAGGGAUGGAGGCCUUCGGGUUGUAAACCUCUUUUAUCGGGGAGCAAGCGAGAGUGAGUUUACCCGUUGAAUAAGCACCGGCUAACUACGUGCCAGCAGCCGCGGUAAUACGUAGGGUGCAAGCGUUAUCCGGAAUUAUUGGGCGUAAAGGGCUCGUAGGCGGUUCGUCGCGUCCGGUGUGAAAGUCCAUCGCUUAACGGUGGAUCCGCGCCGGGUACGGGCGGGCUUGAGUGCGGUAGGGGAGACUGGAAUUCCCGGUGUAACGGUGGAAUGUGUAGAUAUCGGAAAGAACACC